GAUGAACGCUGGCGGCGUGCUUAACACAUGCAAGUCGAACGGUGAACACGGAGCUUGCUCUGUGGGAUCAGUGGCGAACGGGUGAGUAACACGUGAGCAACCUGCCCCUGACUCUGGGAUAAGCGCUGGAAACGGCGUCUAAUACUGGAUAUGUGACGUGACCGCAUGGUCUGCGUUUGGAAAGAUUUUUCGGUUGGGGAUGGGCUCGCGGCCUAUCAGCUUGUUGGUGAGGUAAUGGCUCACCAAGGCGUCGACGGGUAGCCGGCCUGAGAGGGUGACCGGCCACACUGGGAUUGAGACACGGCCCAGACUCCUACGGGAGGCAGCAGUGGGGAAUAUUGCACAAUGGGCGAAAGCCUGAUGCAGCAACGCCGCGUGAGGGAUGACGGCCUUCGGGUUGUAAACCUUUUUUAGCAGGGAAGAAGCGAAAGUGACGGUACCGGCAGAAAAAGCGCCGGCUAACUACGU
rnacentral:rRNA from 1 species